GCCAGCGUGGCGUAGUGGUUUGGGUGUAGGACUACGGCUCUGCAGACCAGGGUUCGAAUCCUGGCUCAGCCA